UUGAAGAAGGCCUUGAAAAGUAUUUCGUGGAACCGACAUGUCUGCGAAGCAUAACGAUUAGUAGAUUUCACCAUGGCGGUUGGUAACGAAGACAAAGUUGCGAUAUCGCCUUAUGGCUAGUCAUUUCUGUAGCUUGGGCUUUGAAAGGAGCUUGAAGAAUGUUCUGCUUUCAUCGUCCCAUUCAUGAUUUCGGAGUAUUUAUUUACAUGACUGAUUCAAUCAGUAAUAGAAUCAGGUAACUGGUUGUAUUACACUUUCGGAGAGGAUGUCACAAAAUGCACGUAGUACUACUACUAGUGAGCUGAAGCCAUUACUGAAGAAGUAUCAGCAAUGGAGAUGGAGAUGACCAGUGCUACUUCCCAGCUCAGAUGCAUGCUGAUGCUCCUCGGGUUCCUGGGCUUUGCCAACGAGUAGAUCUACAUGUUGAGAGUGUGCCUGUCUAUGACUAUCGUGGCUAUGUCUAAGUCACCCGGCAACCCGGUACGUGGCAUAAUACCCGGAGACUGAAACGCGACAAAAGUGCUUUGUUGAACAGAACUGUUAGAUAAACUAGCGGAACAUUCUUCAUCACCGUUCGUGGGUGCAGUGGAAAAUUGUCAAGCAUAUACCGCUAUUAAACACAUGAGCUGCUUGGAAGCGGGUGGGUUUUCAACCGUGCUGCGACCCACAGUGAAUUGGGAACGUGCGGUCUGGCACAAGGUUAACAAGAUGAAUGCGGCAUAAUGAGUAUUCGGCCUUUUUAGGGAUCUGGUUGGUGGAUCUGAUCUAUCCUCCCGCACCAUAUUAUGAGCUACAUCUAUCACCGGAUCAUGGAGUGGUAGCGUCCCACGGAAGCGGAAAUGUGGUUCUUGACCUCCUCGGUGGUGCUGGUAUGGUCUGGUGCGUGACUUGGUUUCUGUUCGCCGCCGACUCACACGCCAAACGCAGUACUGUCCGUCACUCUGAGAGGACCUUCAUAGAAACAUCACUGGCCACACAGCGUUGUACGGAGAGUCAAGUGUCUGUACCGUGGUCCGCACUGCUGCCGUCAUUACCACAGUGGGCUAUUGUGCUGGCCCAUAUUUGCGAUCACCGUGGGUUUCUACACGAUACUGGCUUGUCUACCGACGUACUUGAGUGAUGUGAUGUAGUUCGAGAUUGCCGGGGCCAGUCUAUGGUCGGCACUACCAUACAUGGUCUACUUAGUGCUGAUGCCAAGCUUUGGCAGAGUAGCUGACUGGCUACUUGAAACUCAUCUCUCCGCAACGAAGGUGCGCAAGAUCUUUACUAUGGCAGCCUGACAGGACAGCUCGCCAAUGGCGGAACGUGUUCUACGUGUUUGGAGCAUUCUUCUACACCGUAUUUGGCCAGGGUGUUCGCCAG